GAUGAAGAACGUAGCGAAAUGCGAUAAGUAGUGUGAAUUGCAGAAUUCAGUGAAUCAUCGAAUCUUUGAACGCACAUUGCGCCCCUUGGUAUCCCGAGGGGCAUGCCUGUUCGAGCGUCAUUUCACCACUCAAGCCUGGCUUGGUGUUGGGCGACGUCCCCUUUGGGGACGCGCCUCGAAACGCUCGGCGGCGUGGCACCGGCUUUAAGCGUAGCAGAAUCUUUCGCUUUGGAAGUCGGGGCCCCGUCUGCCGGAAGACCUACUCGUAAGGUUGACCUCGGAUCAGGCAGGGAUACCCGCUGAACUUAAGCAUAUCAAUAAGCGGAGGA
rnacentral:misc_RNA from 1 species